GACGAACGCUGGCGGCGUGCUUAACACAUGCAAGUCGAACGGAAAGGCCCUGCUUUUGUGGGGUGCUCGAGUGGCGAACGGGUGAGUAACACGUGAGUAACCUGCCCUUGACUUUGGGAUAACUUAAGGAAACUGGGGCUAAUACAGGAUAGGAGCUCCUGCUGCAUGGUGGGGGUUGGAAAGUUUCGGCGGUUGGGGAUGGACUCGCGGCGUAUCAGCUUGUUGGUGGGGUAGUGGCUUACCAAGGCUUUGACGGGUAGCCGGCCUGAGAGGGUGACCGGCCACAUUGGGACUGAGAUACGGCCCAGACGCCUACGGGAGGCAGCAGUGGGGAAUAUUGCACAAUGGGGGGAAGCCUGAUGCAGCAACGCCGCGUGCGGGAUGACGGCCUUCGGGUUGUAAACCGCUUUCGCCUGUGAUGAAGCGGGAGUGACGGUAAUGGGUAAAGAAGCACCGGCUAACUACGUG
rnacentral:rRNA from 1 species